UGCGCUAUGACGCUCAGUGUUUGCGUAUAUUUCUGGCGCAGUAGUAGUAAAAUAACUCAGCCCAAUUAUCUGCCACUACUACAUGCAUUAGUAUUUUCUCUAUGCAGUCAAUGAAAGCACUACUCUACUCCACUCUGACCCCUCCCACUUGCAAAAAAAAAUAGACCCAUCUCAGAGAAAGAGGGCAGAAAAUAUGCAAAGAUGCAUCCACGGCGUACUUUGGACGCACGCGAUUUUUACUUGACGCAAACGGCUGAAUAAUUGCGCUGAUGGGCAGAGGCUGAUAUCGGGGGGUGCUGUGUGUUGUGUUGUAGUAGGAACGCUCUCGCGGAUGGAUACAGACAGAGAGAGUGCGAGAUGCGGUUUACUUUAUCGCGCGGUGCUCAACUCUCAGCUGCGAUUCUGACUGUGCUGAUGACAGAGUGCGCGUCGCUCUUGCCGGCUCGCCUCUGCAGCCUUUUAACUUCACAUGCAUGCUUCACCCGCAGGCUGACAGACAGCCGCCGUACCGCCUCUGUGGAAGGAUUUACUGUCACUGCCGCACUGGAAUAACUUUGCUGCUCCCUCGUUUUUUUUACAUUUUCCUCCUCUUUUUGCGCCACUCGGCUCGCUUUUUUUUGCUCCCGUCUUUCGCCUACAGUUGAAAAUCUGAAAGCCUCGCCGUGAGGAGAGACGAAACCAAACGCACCAUGCCGCGGAAUCCAAGUUUGGCGAGUAAGAACUACGACUACGACUACCUGCAGCCCUAUUUCUACUACGACGACGAGGAGGAGGAUUUCUACCCUCAGCAGUUUCAGCCUCCGGCACCCAGCGAAGACAUCUGGAAGAAAUUUGAACUGCUGCCGACCCCUCCCCUCUCCCCGAGCCGCCGGCCGUCCCUGUCCAGCCUCGACCUUUCCAUCGCGGAUCAGCUGGAGAUGGUGACCGAGUUCCUCGGGGAUGACGUGGUCAACCAGAGCAUCAUCUGCGACUCCGACUACUCCCAGACCUUCCUCAAGUCCAUCAUCAUCCAGGACUGCAUGUGGAGCGGCUUUUCCGCCGCCGCCAAGCUGAAGAAGGUGGUGUCCGAGCGGCUCGCCUCCCUGCACGCCGCCCGGAAGGAGUCUGCGGCCGGUGACUGCGCAGAGCCCGCCGGCCCCGCGGCUGCUGCCGCCGCGGCUGCCGCCGCCGCUACUACGGCUCUUCCUGCGUGGAAACUGAACAGCAGCUACCUGCAAGACCUGAACACGUCUGCGUCGGAGUGCAUCGACCCCUCGGUGGUUUUCCCGUAUCCCGUAGCCGAGACGCCCAAGCAGAGCGCAGGGACCCCGCCUAGCAAGGAUUUGGGACUGGACACGCCGCCUAACAGCAGCGGGAGCAGCAGCAGUUGUAGCGAUUCAGAGGAAGAGGAUGAAGGUGAUGAUGAUGAGGAGGAGGAGGAGGAGGAGGAGGAGGAGGAAGAAGAGGACGAACAGGAGGAAGAGGAGGAAAUCGACGUGGUCACUGUGGAAAAGAGGCAGGUGGUGAAACGGUGCGACUCCAGCCCGCUGGAGACCAGGCACCCCAGCCCACUCGUGCUGAAGAGGUGCCACGUCUCCACCCACCAGCAUAAUUACGCCGCCCAUCCAUCCAUGAGGCACGAGCAGCCGGCUGUCAAGAGGCUGAAGCUGGAGAGCAGCGGUGGAGGUGCCAGCAGCCACAGCAGGGUCCUCAAACAGAUCAGCAGCAACCGCAAGUGUUCCAGCCCGCGAACGUCGGACACGGAGGACUACGACAAGAGAAGGACUCAUAACGUGCUGGAGCGCCAAAGGAGGAACGAGCUGAAGCUGAGCUUCUUCGCUCUGCGGGACGAGAUCCCCGAGGUGGCCAACAACGAGAAGGCGGCCAAGGUGGUCAUCCUGAAGAAGGCCACGGAGUGCAUCUACAGCAUGCAGUCGGACGAACAGAGACUCCUCUCUCUGAAAGAGCAGCUGAGGAGGAGAAGCGAACAGUUAAAGCAGAGACUCGCACACCUGCAGGGUUGCCGUGCUUAAACUUUGAAUCAUAAACUUUUUUUAAAUUUUUUUCUCAAAAUAAAAGUUCAUUACUUGGGGGUUGGGGGGGGGUUGGGUGUGUACAGUUGUUGCUGCAUGCAGAUGCAAAACGGAUUAAGUUGUUUUGGAAUCUGGUUUGAUUACAAUGUAAGAAGAAAAAAACUGCCUCAUCUGAUGAAGAUAUUUAAAAGUUUUAUUUUAUUAAUAAAAUGUUUAAAAAUGUGGCUCACACUGUUGAAAGCCUGAACUUAAAAUAUGGAUUUUUAUGUUGUUGUUUUUUCUUGUUUUGUUUUUUUUGUACAUAAUUAAUAUUUCCUAAGAAAAUGUAUUUUUGGAUUGCGAUUGUCUGGAUGUUCAGACCCACUGUUUUUGUUUUUUUUCAUUAUGUUCAUAGAUUCUUUUUCAAAUAUAAAACAAAAACCUGUUUCUUGAGCUUGUCUCUCAUUCUUCACCACCAUGACUAGCCACUCAGUCACACCUGAGUAGGGGGCGUCCACAUGAAUACAUUAGAAAAUGAGUGGUUGGGUAGAAAACUUAUCUGAGCGUUAUAAAACUUUGAGUCACUCCUCUCACUGAUGGAAGGUAAGGGUCAAAACCUAAAUAAGAGUACACGCUGUGUAAAAGUCCUGCUGCAGUGAAUUUUAAGUGAAAUCUGCAUAAAUGGUUUAAAAAAAACAAAAACGUUGAUCACGUGUUUUGUGCAGAAAAGAGGGAAUUCCUCUUCAGACUUAGAAGAAGCCACCUCAGCUCCUUAAUACGAGUCCUGGAUGCUUGUGGAAGUGCACAGAAAGGUGGGAAACUGCAUGUCAUGUUUAAACGCAGGUAUAGUGAAGCUGUCUUUUAGAUGAGGGCUGGUGCAUUAAACAGCGCAUCUGCGAUCACAUUUCUUAAAGUAGCACACUAAUAAAAGUGUAGCACGGGAACUCGAAAGCUCGUUUAUAAUCUAAAACCACAGAUAAUAAAUAUCUAGAUAUAAAUAUACGUUAUAUCUUUAUAUUUAAAUGUAAUAUGAACUGUCUACGUUGGAAUAAAUGAAUAACGAGGUGAAGUUUAUCUAGUUAGACCGUGGUAAAACCCCACCUGUUCCACCGUUGUCUCGAGCGGCUUUCCAGACUCAACGUGACGUCACACACGCCGUAUCCCGAGCGCUCCCCCCCCCUCCACCUCUGAGCGCGUGGUCCUGGUCGCGAGCACAUGGAAGUGAGGUUUGAGAUUUGUGUCUGAGAGACGCGCGAGCGACUGUCGGGAAAACGGAAUAUAAAGUGAAUUAAAGAAGCAGCCCGAGCAGCCCGGAAGCGCUCUCUCAGCCCGCUGGCUUUCCUCUGGAGCAGCUGUCGGUCAGCGUCAGUUGGUGAAUCUCGGAAACACAGAUCGCUAAUGAGGCUGGAGCUCUCGAGGACUGCCUGGCCCUGAACUCAGCAUCACACGGUGCUAAGUGACGAGGAUCCCCUGCUGCACCCGGGGAGGCUUAUGCAUCUGAAACGUAAAUAUUAUAUACGUCACGUCGAAUCAGGAGACGGGUGCUCUCGUCUGGCUUUGAGAUCUCGCUGUGCUCGGGGUGGUCCUGCAAACCCAGGAAAGUCCAGGCUUCUGCUGCUGCUGUGAUGGUGGUGUUGCAGACCCCCCAUGCCGGCCAGAUCUUUCUGCAGCUUCUGCACCGACACAUGAUCUGACUAGGAAGGAUGCAAAGGUGGAAGCAGACCGUGCUGGAUUCAGUUUCACAGCAUCUUACUGGAGCAAACACACACAACAUACUGCAAGGUUUUCAGUAGUAUCUACUUCCCCCUUUUUUUUCUUUUUUUUUGUUUGAGAGGACACGGAUACACCCUGACUGGGCCCCUGUAGUGCUCUACAUUGUGGCUGGGAAGUACCUAGUUUUACAACUGUCAUGCUGGCCUGCUUAAAGGGACAGUGCUGAUCAAUUCGAAGCACAUAUUGAGGGGUCUUUUAGUCACCCUAACAAGGGGGUCACAUGGAUGUUUGAGUCGUCACCUGAUAUGUGAGGAAUGUCAGAAGAGCCGUUUUCUGCAUCAAGCACUGCAUAAAAAUACUGAUUGAUAUUUGUUAAAAGAAUGUCUUUAAUAAAAAGUUGAAUUG